GAUGAACGCUAGCGGCAGGCCUAACACAUGCAAGUCGAGGGGCAGCACAGAAACAGCAAUGUUUUGGUGGCGACCGGCGGACGGGUGCGUAACGCGUAUGCAACCUACCUUUAACAGGGGGAUAACGGAGAGAAAUUUCCACUAAUACCCCAUAACAUCGAUCAAGGCAUCUUGAUUGGUUGAAAACUCCGGUGGUUAAAGAUGGGCAUGCGUUGUAUUAGGUAGUUGGUGAGGUAAUGGCUCACCAAGCCUACGAUACAUAGGGGGACUGAGAGGUGAGCCCCCCACCCUGGUACGGAGACAAGGACCAGACUCCUACGGGAGUCAGCAGUGAGGAAUAUUGGUCAAUGGGGGCAACCCUGAACCAGCCAUGCCGCGUGCAGGAAGACGGCUCUAUGAGUCGUAAACUGCUUUUAAACAGGGAUAAAGCACAGUAUGUAUACUGUGUUGAAGGUACUGUAAGAAUAAGGAUCGGCUAACUCCGUGCCAGCCGCCGCCGUAA
rnacentral:rRNA from 1 species